ACUGCCAGAGAUGCUUCAUGAAUAAAGGAUUGGAUCAAUGUAGCAAGUAACAAACCAUAAGCAGAUAAGCUGCUUGCUGAGGACAAAGGGAGGAAUAUUUUAAACAGCAGCUAUGACUGUGUGAGCAGUAGGAACAAAGACUUUCAUCAUUCUAUUUCUUCUUUGCUUUGAUGUGAAUAUGUGUAUGCAGAUGCUUCCUGCCCUUUAACAUCGGACUCCGAGUUCUUCAGCUUUUGGAUCCUGGAUCUAUACCAAUGGUUUGCCAGGGUCUCUUGGACCUUUGGCCACACACUGAAGGCUGCACUAUUGGCUUCCCUACUUUUGAGGUUUUGGGACUCAGACUGGCUUCCUUGCUCUCCUCAGCUUGUAGAUGGCCUAUUGUGUGACUUCACCUUGUGAUCAUAGCUUACAAAAAGCUUGAUUGAAAAGAGAAGAGACUGGAACACAGUAUGAUGACAAUAAAGAGAAAAGGUAGAGUUGAAAACGAAGAUACUAACACCUUGAUCUCAACCUUAGCAGUUAAAUAUUCUUUUCAUUUUUGUUCCCUUCAAAUUCAAAGGAUUUUUCUACCUCAAAAUGACAAUAACAGUUCCUUUUAAAAAUAUCUUUAAGUUUCUACUUUAAUGUCACAGAUAAACCUAACCACAUGUGUGGAAACUGAUUUGAUGAAAUGAGACCAACCUGAGAAAAAUUUGAGAUGUUCAAUUCAUAUUUUUAAUAUUUUUAAAACAUAUAUCCAAACUUGUUAAAAGGCAAAUCAUUUCAAAUAAAUAAAUAAUGUUCAAUCCCAUUUCGAGCUAUUAUACAUAUCAGUUUCCACCGUUUAAACAUUCUACUGCCUAAAAUUCCCCCCCUCUCUUUUUAAUCUAAGGAUAACUGUUCCUUCAAGGCUCACUUCAAAAUCGAAUGAGGCCUUCCCUUCCUGUGCAACUGAACCACUAAUACAUUUGUUCUAGGAAUAUCUCUAUCACUUCUUAAAAAAUAAUCAUUGACAUGAGAAAUAGUUCUCUUGGUGAUUUUUCUUCUUUUUUUAAUACAUAUUCUGCUUUUCAAAUUAGACUAUAAGCUCACUUUACAUUAAAACAUUUGUUUGUGUUUUAGUAUCCUAGCCUAUGUAAUAGUAUCAAUGAAUUUUUACUUAUGGCAAUAACUUAAAAUGAAAAUUGAUCAUAUUCAGAAAUAUUUUCGAAGAUUGCAAAUUUAAUAAUUAACAUCAAGCAAGAGUCAUAACAAUAAUUAGAUAUAAAAAUCUUUCCUGGGGGCUCCCAAUUGUCUUAAUUUUUUUUUCCUCAGGAGAAUACGUGGGUCCCAAAUAGCACUGUAUAGGCUCAUCACGUAUACUAACAUUAUUAAUGUUCACAUUUAUGUCAAAAAUAUCUACGAUUAAAACAUACUAACUUUAUGAAAAGUUUACCUUGGAUAAGGAAAUAUAGUAUUUGUAAUCAUUUAUACUCUUCUGUAUACUUAAUUGUAAAAGGUAUAUCCAGUUAAUGGAGAGCACAAUAAUUUUCUUCUAAAGAAUAAAAUUAAUCAUUUUAGUAUUUUAAUUGAUUUUCUAAAUCCCUUGCCCUCUUAGGAGCCAAGAUUAGUCUGGACAGUAUGCAGACAUUGACUCUGCUUUGACGACAGAGCUGGAAUUAAUUUCGCGUGUACCACAUAAGGUAAAGAAAACAGCUUCAGACCACGAUUAUCUAAGAUACGGGGUCUGGGUUUGCAGAUUAAUUUUAACAUAAGAAAAUGAAGUGACAGCUGAGGAUCUUUCAUGACACACUGCUGAGCUGCUGAAUGAAGUAUGCACGAAAUAGAAAAAUGUUCUUGAAUUCACAUAGAACCACAAGAGACUCUCAACAGCCAAAACAAUCUCAAGCAAAAAGAACAGAGCUGGAGGUGUCACAUUCCCUGAUUCCAAAACAUAUUAUAAAGUAAUUGUGAUCAAAACAGUAUGGUCCUGGCAUAAAAACAGACAGCUCAACCAAUAGAACAGGAUAGAGAACUCAGAAUUAAACCCAUGUUUAAUCAAUUGAUUUGUGACAAAAGUGCCAAAAACACAUGUAGAGAAAUGACAGUCUUGAAUAAAUAACGUUAAAAAAAAAAACUGGGUAUUUACAUACAGAAGAAUGAAAGUGAACCAUUGCUUCACAUCUUAUACAAAAAUAAAUUCAAAAUAGAUUAAAAACGUAAACAUAGGACAUGAAACUGUAAACCUACUACAAGAAAACGUAUGGAAGAAGCUCUUGCCAUUGGUUUAGGCAUUGUUGCAAAAAUGACUAAAUGCUACUAAACAUUUCAUAGUUUUAAAUCUUAUGGCUAUAAAAAUGUUUUUUUUUUUAGUUUUAAAACAGUUAUUUUAUGUGGUGUCAUUUGUAUUUCUUUUUUGUGAAUUUCUUAAUAAAACAUUCGCCACUUGUUUUGUUUUAUACCAACUAAUUAUUUUAGACUUUCUUAGAUUUUAAAGUUUUAAAUUAAUUUUUAUUUUAAAUAAGAGUCUCAAUCUUUACCUCUGUAUUUUCUGGGAUUCAAGUGCAAUCUAAGGCCUCCCAAAAUUAGUUUUUAGCUGAAAAAAAAUUGUUUUAGAUGUUUCACAAAUGUAAAGAUGUGAAUUAACUUAGACACGGGAAUGAAGAUUUUUCCCUAAUUUCACAGUUUAGGAAAUGUAUAUGAGUAAUAUGCUUCCUUGUUUUCUCUACAUAAUAAUAUAUUGCUUUUCUCUCCAGUGUGGCAUGAGGGAACUUGAGUAGUUUAUAAAUCUUUGUUUUAUAUCAUUUCCUAUCAUCAAAACUCUGUACACAUUGUAUCAUUUCUAAACCACUUGCGUACCACUUAGGAUUUGGCUUAUUCGGCUACUUUGGAAUUAGCUAGCUACUAUGGCAAGAAUUUAUGUUGAGAAAACUUGUGCUAUUCAUUGCUAUAUUUGUUUUAUAAAAAGUAUGAAAUUAUUUUUCAAUAGUUAAUUUUAUCUACAAAAUUAAAACUAUAUGUUUGUUUCUUGUCUCUGAACCUUCAUUCUGGAAAUCACUCUUCUGUGAACUAAGUGCAGAUCACAAAGAUGACCCUACCAUCCUAUGCCCUCUCCAUCACACUUAGCACCAUAUCUGUAACAUAUUGCCAAAAUGGACCUUUAGGACAUUAAUCCUCAAUUAUCUAAACACCUGCCAUAUUUCCAAAUACAUACCACUCGUAAGGAUUUUUAGAAUAAAUCUAUGAAAAGAAUUCUAUAUUAAUUCAACAUAAUAUACACAAAUCUCAGAUAGUGAAACUCUCUGAUACUUCAUUGUAUACUCCUCCAGUUUGGAGCAUGUAGUAUUUUAGUGGGAGCUAUUUCUCAAAAGCAGUGCUGUAUGUAUGUGGCUCUGAACCUCCUAGUCCCCAGGUAACAUUGUCUUUUCUACUUUAGUUAUUUUGUUUCAUUUGAUGUAUGUUAAGAGAUGUUCUCUAGAUGUUCACUAUGCUGGCCAAAUAAAUCUUUUUUUUAAAAAUGCACUUUUUGAAUAAAUUCUAAGCUG